rnacentral:rRNA from 1 species
GACGAACGCUGGCGGCGUGCCUAAUACAUGCAAGUAGAACGCUGAAGGAGGAGCUUGCUUCUCUGGAUGAGUUGCGAACGGGUGAGUAACGCGUAGGUAACCUGCCUGGUAGCGGGGGAUAACUAUUGGAAACGAUAGCUAAUACCGCAUAAGAGUAGAUGUUGCAUGACAUUUGCUUAAAAGGUGCAAUUGCAUCACUACCAGAUGGACCUGCGUUGUAUUAGCUAGUUGGUGGGGUAACGGCUUACCAAGGCGACGAUACAUAGCCGCCCGGAGAGGGGGAGCGGCCGCACUGGGACUGGGACGCGCCCCAGUCUCCUACGGGUGGCGGCAGUAGGGAUACUUCGGCAAUGGACGGAAGUCUGACCGAGCAACGCCGCGUGAGUGAAGAAGGUUUUCGGAUCGUAAAGCUCUGUUGUAAGAGAAGAACGAGUGUGAGAGUGGAAAGUUCACACUGUGACGGUAUCUUACCAGAAAGGAACGGCUAACUACGUG